rnacentral:rRNA from 1 species
UACGUAGGGGGCUAGCGUUGUCCGGAAUCAUUGGGCGUAAAGCGCACGUAGGCGGACUCUUAAGUCGGUGGUGAAAUCCUGGAGCUCAACUCCAGAACUGCCUUCGAUACUGAGAGUCUUGAGUCCGGGAGAGGUGAGUGGAACUGCGAGUGUAGAGGUGAAAUUCGUAGAUAUUCGCAAGAACACCAGUGGCGAAGGCGGCUCACUGGCCCGGUACUGACGCUGAGGUGCGAAAGCGUGGGGAGCAAACAGG